rnacentral:rRNA from 1 species
UACGAAGGGUACGAGCGUUAUUCGGAGUUAUUGGGCGUAAAGAGCAUGUAGGCGGCUAGUUAAGUUGGAUGUUAAAUAUCCCGGCCUAACCGGGAAAAGGCGUUCGAAACUGACAAGCUAGAGUAUAAGAGAGAGAAGUAGAAUUCCAGGAGUAGCGGUAAAAUGCGUAGAUCUCUGGAGGAAUACCGAUGGCGAAGGCAGCUUCUUAGCUUAAAACUGGCGCUAAAGUGCGAAAGCGUGGGGAGCAAACAGGAUUAGAUACCCUGGUAGUCCACGCCGUAAACGAUGAUCACUGGACGUGGGUCUGGCGUAGCUGGAUCUGUGUCGAAGCUAACGCGUUAAGUGAUCCGUCUGGGAAGUACGGUCGCAAGAUUAAA